UACGUAGGGGGCAAGCGUUGUCCGGAAUCAUUGGGCGUAAAGAGCGUGUAGGCGGCCCGGUAAGUCCGCCGUGAAAGUCCAGGGCUCAACCCUGGAAUGCCGGUGGAUACUGUCGGGCUAGAGUCCGGAAGGGGCGAGUGGAAUUCCUGGUGUAGCGGUGAAAUGCGCAGAUAUCAGGAGGAACACCGAUGGCGAAGGCAGGUCUCUGGGCCGAUACUGACGCUGAGGAGCGAAAGCGUGGGGAGCGAACAGG
rnacentral:rRNA from 1 species